rnacentral:rRNA from 1 species
GGCCGCGGGAUUAGAGUUUGAUCAUGGCUCAGAUUGAACGCUGGCGGCAGGCCUAACACAAGCAAGUCGAGCGGUAACAUGUCUAGCUUGCUAGAUGAUGACGAGCGGCGGACGGGUGAGUAAUGCUUGGGGAUCUGCCUUAGAGUGGAGGAUAACCAUUGGAAACGAUGGCUAAUACUGCAUAGUAUCUGCGGAUUAAAGGGGGCUUAGGCUCUUGCUUUAAGAUGAACCCAAGUGGGAUUAGCUAGUUGGUGAGGUAAUGGCUCACCAAGGCGACGAUCCCUAGCUGGUCUGAGAGGAUGAUCAGCCACACUGGAACCGAGACACGGUCCAGACUCCUACGGGAGGCAGCAGUGGGGAAUAUUGCACAAUGGGCGAAAGCCUGAUGCAGCCAUGCCGCGUGUGUGAAGAAGGCCCUAGGGUUGUAAAGCACUUUCAGUCAGGGGGAAAGGUUAGUAGUUAAUACCUGCUAGCUGUGACGUUACUGACAGAAGAAGCACCGGCUAACUUCGUGCCAGCAGCCGCGGUAAUACGAGGGGUGCAAGCGUUAAUCGGAAUUACUGGGCGUAAAGCGAGCGUAGGCGGCUGAAUAAGCUGGAUGUGAAAAACCGGGGCUCAACCUCGGCCGUGCAUUCAGAACUGUUUAGCUAGAGUCCUGUAGAGGGGGGUAGAAUUUCA